AACGAACGCUGGCGGCAGGCCUAACACAUGCAAGUCGAGCGAGAUCUUCGGGUCUAGCGGCGGACGGGUGAGUAACGCGUGGGAAUAUGCCUCUUGGUACGGAAUAGCCUCGGGAAACUGGGAGUAAUACCGUAUGUGCCCUUUGGGGGAAAGGUUUAUCGCCAAGAGAUUAGCCCGCGUUGGAUUAGGUAGUUGGUGGGGUAAUGGCCUACCAAGCCGACGAUCCAUAGCUGGUUUGAGAGGAUGAUCAGCCACACUGGGACUGAGACACGGCCCAGACUCCUACGGGAGGCAGCAGUGGGGAAUCUUAGACAAUGGGGGCAACCCUGAUCUAGCCAUGCCGCGUGAGUGAUGAAGGCCUUAGGGUUGUAAAGCUCUUUCAGCUGGGAAGAUAAUGACGGUACCAGCAGAAGAAGCCCCGGCUAACUCCGUG
rnacentral:rRNA from 1 species